AGGACUAACGCUGGCGGCGUGCCUAACACAUGCAAGUCGAGCGGGGUAGCAAUACCCAGCGGCAGACGGGUGAGUAACGCGUGGUCAACCUUCCGUUGAAUGGGGGAUAACUAGCCGAAAGGUUAGCUAAUACCGCAUACGAUCUUUUGAAGGCAUCUUUAAAAGAUGAAAGGAGCAAUUCGUUCAACGACGGGACCGCGUCCCAUUAGCUAGAUGGUGGGGUAAUGGCCUACCAUGGCAACGAUGGGUAGCUGGUUUGAGAGAGCGACCAGCCACACUGGGACUGAGAAACGGCCCAGACUCCUACGGGAGGCAGCAGUGAGGAAUUUUCCGCAAUGGGCGAAAGCCUGACGGAGCGACGCCGCGUGUGGGAAGAAGGCCUUCGGGUCGUAAACCACUGUCGAAGGGGACGAUAAUGACGGUACCCUUGGAGGAAGCCCCGGCUAACUUCGUGCCAGCAGCCGC
rnacentral:rRNA from 1 species